UGGGAAUGGGCGCGGGAUGUGGCCGCGGCUUGCGGAGCGCAGGCCUCGCGCGGCCCCCCUCCAGCCUGGACUCGGGGAGAGAAGGGAAGUCCCUCUCCCGCGCGGCUCCACCCUCCGCAGCCCCGGCCCGCCGGGCUCCCGGGGGCGGCGGGACUCACGGCCUUCAGCUGCUCCAGCCGGUCCUUCAUCCUGGUGCCCAGGCGCCCGAGGCAGGAAGAAGUCUGGAUUCCACCUGCUAGUUGUGCACAAAAACCUGAAGAAAGUAAAGUAACUGCAAGGCAUGGGACCUGAGCUAGUGGACUGGUAUGGAAAACCCUGAUAUUGAGGCCAAGUGAAUUCUAGGGUCUCCACGUAGGUGAACAGUGACUUAAGGAUCCAGGCUCAGUGUUCUCGCUGAUGUAUUUUCAUAUUUAUGCCACACAGUGGUACUUGAUUUUACACCCACUAGGUCUUAGUGUAGCUAUUUUCCCAUAAAACAGUCAGGAUUCAUUCAAGUGUUUGCAUUUUGGUUAUAAAUAUAUCAGCCAACACUUAAUUUCACCUUUACAAACAAACCAAAGACAACUCCUGGGACUUGGGGUUUCACUGCCUUCUCUCUCCACCCUGUAAGCCUAUUUCUUUCCCAGUGGAGAAAAGAACUGAACCUCACCCCAUCUAGACCGCCAGAGCCUGCUGUGAAACAGGAAUCCAGGUGCAGCUCAGCUGAGUGCCUCUGUGUCAAGAUCUCUCACAAGACUGCAGGGAAGGUGUUGGCUGGGGCUGCAGUCCUAUUUCAUGCCUGACUGGAAAAGGGUCUGUUUCUAAGGUUACUCACAUGGCUGUUGGCAGGAUUCAAUCCUCAAGGGCUGUUGGGCAGAGGGCCUUGGUUCUUUGCUCACUGGAGGCCACCCUCCUUGCUAUGUGGGCCUCUCCAUAAGGCAACCCACAAAAUGGCAGCUGCCUUCUAUCAGAGUGAGCAGGCAAGAGAAAAAGAGAUAGAGAAUGAGAAAAAGAGAAAGAGAUGGAUGGAAGCCAACGUGUUUUUACCUAAUCUUAGAUGUGAUAUCCCAUCGAUUUUGCCAUAUUCUGUUCAUUAGAAGUGAGUCACUAGGCUCAACCCCCAAUCAAGAGAAUGAAGACCAGGAGCCUGAUACACAGUUCAAAUCCCAAUUAAUGCCAAAGUUAUGCUAUUUCACCUUUGCAGAGCUCUGCCCUCCCCCAUAUCUGACUUGGACAACUAUGGACCCAUUCUUCAGGGCUCCGAGAUCCUCACCCACCAGGACUGAGUUAAGUGGCCCUUGAGCUGCCUCUAUGAUACCCUAGGCUUCUCCAUCAUAGCCUCCACCACACCAAUUACAAGGGCAUGGUCUGCCUCCUGCCCCUUCUGCAAGCUCUGUGCAGGCAGCAGCCUUGUCUCUUCUCCUCAUUGAUGUGGACCCAGACCUAAACUUAAGACCAGAAAUGUACCAGACACUUCGUAUAUGUGUACUAAACUUAUUAACUGAAUGUUCUUGUAAGACGACUCCGUUUUCUCUUCUGAUUAAAACUCCUCAGUUGGCUUUUUAUUACAAAGA